rnacentral:sRNA from 1 species
GCCGUGAGGUGUUGGGUUAAGUCCCGCAACGAGCGCAACCCUCACCCUAUGUUGCCAUCGGGUAAUGCCGGGCACUCUUGGGGAACUGCCGGUGAAGAGCUGGAGGAAGGGGGGGAUGACGUCAAGUCCGUAUGCCCCUUAUGUCCAGGGCUACACACAUGCUACAAUGGCCGAUACAGAGGGUUCCCAACCCGCAAGGGGGAGGCAAUCCCACAAAGUCGGUCUCAGUUCGGAUUGCAGGCUGCAACUCGCCUGCAUGAAGUCGGAAUCGCUAGUAAGCGCAGAUCAGCAGGCUGCGCUGAAUACGUUCCCGGGCCUUGUACACACCGCCCGUCACACCACGAAAGCCGGUUGUACCAGAAGUCGCUGAGCCAACCGCAAGGAAGCAGGCGCCGAAGGUAUGGUCGGUGAUUGGGGUGAAGUCGUAACAAGGUAGCCGUAGGGGAACCUGCGGCUGGAUCACCUCCUUUCUAAGGAGCUUCGAGGGUACCGGGGGUCCAUCACGGAUCUCCGGGCCCUCCAUAGCUUCGUUCUCAAGCUCUAACUUUCUCGCGUGAGCCAGUAACAUUAUUUUCCGUUGGGCCUUUAGCUCAGCUGGCUAGAGCGCGCGCUUGAUAAGCGCGAGGUCCCUGGUUCGACCCCAGGAAGGCCCACCAGAAUGGCGUGUUGGGGAUGUAGCUCAGUUGGGAGAGCACCUGCUUUGCAAGCAGGGGGUCGCCGGUUCGACUCCGGUCAUCUCCACCAAGCGUGAACGCGAUUGAGAGAGGCGCGGCUCUGGCCGCGAAGCUCUUUGACAAUUGAAUACGUUGAUUCUCGAGUGUAGCCAAGCGAUGUUCUUCUUAGGCAAGCAAUGACUUUCGUGGUCAAGCUACUAAGGGCGAACGGUGGAUGCCUUGGCGCCAGGAAGCGACGAAGGGCGUGGCUAGCUGCGAUAAGCCUCGGGGAGCCGCAAGCAGGCUUUGAUCCGAGGAUGC